ACUGAUGCAGAACCACAGUUGAGAAAUGCUGUUUCUUUCUUUCUUUCCUUUUUUUUGCAAAUAAAGUUUUAUUGGCAUGUAGCUACCCUCAUUUACAUAUCACCUGUGGCUGCUUUCCUGCUACAAUGGCAGCGUGGAGUGCUUGUGGAAGGCCCUUAAACAACCGUUUGCAAGGGCCAAACCUAUUUACCAUCAGGUCCUUCUACAGAAAACAUUUGCUGAGCCUGCUCUGGAGAAAAACUUAAGGACAACUUUCAGUAUCGUGUGAAAAAAAAAUCUUAGAAGGAUUUUAUUUUUUUGCUUAAGGUAGUGACAGAAUUCCCUUAAGGAAUUCUGACAGAGACAAAAUAUUCUGAGUACAUGAAUAUUAAGGCGCUGGGAAAGUACAUGAACCCUCAGAGCGUGUGUCCCCACCUGCAGCCGCAAAGGAAGUGCUCAGGAGGAAGGCGAGGCGAGGUGGGCUUCUGUGGAGAAAGCCUGCAGCGGCUCUUAGGAAAAAACCAUCAGGAAAGGAACCGGCUCCGAGGGAGGAAAGAGCCAGGGAGCUUCAGAGAAAUCAAGCUCAGCAGCGUGAGUCCCUACACCUCAUUACAAGGACACAAGAAGAUAGCCCAGGCUGUGAACCAGGAAACCAGCCGUCAUCAGACACCAAAUCUGCCAGCGCCUUGAUCUUGGACUUCCCAGCCUCCAGCACUAACCUCGUCACGUGGCCUCAACCUGUCAGCAAAGGAGGCUGGGAGAUAGUCGGCCCGAGUUCCUCAGAAGAGGAGAAAAAGGGGAAUUCGGAGAGCAGCCGCCAUGGUCUCUGCCACCGUUACAGUUAAGUAAGAAAGAAGACAGAAGGGAGUGUUUAUUAAAAUUCACGUGUAUUUGCAUGGAAAAUGCUUCCGACAGCAAGAUUAUAAACACGAUUACUCCCGUGGGGGAGGGGAGAAGAGGCAGAUGGGGCCGGGAGUAGAAGUAAGACUCCUCAGUGUGCGCGUACAUCACGGAGCCAGGGGUCGGUGUUGAAUAUUCAGCAGAAAACAACUUUAAAAUUUUAAAACAAACUGGCCAGUGAGUAGAAGGCUGUCCCCUCUCCUCAAACCUGCCACCCAGGUGGCUCUCCUCCUCGUCCUCAGAGAAAACGAAAGCCGUUGGGACAAGUUCUGCUCAUCGCUCUGACCUUAGAGCAGAUUUUGGUUCUGUCCCCGGAGAAGCCCUGACUCACCAGCUGCGGGGUACGCGGCCCUCCCGGGGGAGCGGGGUGUCCCUUGGCGCACUCGCAGGCUCCGCGAUCACCGUGCUGUGAGCACGUGGUCCCCAUUGUUCGUUUACAUCUGUCUCCCCUGCUACCCCGCAAGCUCCUGGAGGCCGGCAAUCUUGCAUCCUCUACAGCCCCAGGCCCCAUCGCUGCUGGCCACGAAGUCGGCAGCCGGUCAAAAUGUUUUCAAAUGAAUGAGUGAACUAACCCAGCAAAAGGUCAGAGCGGGUUAACUUCUGUGACGCCCCUGCAGUGUUUCAAUGCUGAAGAAGGAGCCUAGUUUGUGGCCAGAUGAGAUACUGGUCCUAUGGAUAACUUCUUUCUAAGUAAAUGCUGGUGGUUUUUUAGAGAGUCAACGUCCUGGGUUUUGAAGGGAUCCUGAUUAUCACAGAUCACAAAAUGACAGCUGUACUCUCUUGUUCUUGUGUCCUCAGUGGGGCGCCUGGGUGGCAGUGUUGGUUAAUCAUCCGACUCUUGGUCUGCUCUGCUCAGACGGUGAUCUCGGCGUGGUGCGAUUGAGCCCCAGCCCGGACUAGCCUCUGCACUCAGCGUGCAGUCUGGUUAAGACUCUCUAUUCCUCUCCCUCUGCCUGCUCCCUUACU